rnacentral:rRNA from 1 species
AACGAACGCUGGCGGCAUGCCUAACACAUGCAAGUCGAACGAAGGCUUCGGCCUUAGUGGCGCACGGGUGCGUAACGCGUGGGAAUCUGCCCUUUGGUUCGGAAUAACAGCUGGAAACGGCUGCUAAUACCGGAUGAUGACGAAAGUCCAAAGAUUUAUCGCCAGAGGAUGAGCCCGCGUUGGAUUAGGUAGUUGGUGGGGUAAAGGCCUACCAAGCCGACGAUCCAUAGCUGGUCUGAGAGGAUGAUCAGCCACACUGGGACUGAGACACGGCCCAGACUCCUACGGGAGGCAGCAGUGGGGAAUAUUGGACAAUGGGCGCAAGCCUGAACCAGCAAUGCCGCGUGAGUGAUGAAGGCCCGAGGGUUGUAAAGCUCUUUUACCCGGGAAGAUAAUGACUGUACCGGGAGAAUAAGCCCCGGCUAACUCCGUG